GGCGCCGGGCUGAGCCCGCCUGCGCUCUCUUUCCCUACUGCCGCACCUCGGGACCUAAAAUGGCGACAGACUCGGAGCCUCUCCGACCCAGAGGUGCGAGGUCGCGGAAAAACUACGAUUCCCAGCAUGCAGAGCGACGCCGAGGCGUAGUCUCCACGGCCCUUUACUACACUUCCCAGCAUGCUGCGGGGUCCCGAGCCUCAGCAGGUGUCCCAGGAGACUACAGCUCCCAGCCUACUGUGCCUUAGAUCUGCCGGCGCAUGCUUCACUCUUCGUCCUUGGCGGGAGGUGAAGUCGUCCACCUUCAAGCUCGCAGUGCUGACUCUGGCGUCCCCUGCUUCAGCUGAUAUCACCGGAUGCCACGUGAGCCCCUCUACCCUAUUCUUAUCCAUACCUCUAUAAUCAAUAAAUCAGCAAAUACUGAUGAAUCUGGUUGCUUGUGGUCUUCGCCACAUACUCGGCCUCAUUGCUACCUGUUCGGUGUGGCCUAUCCUAGAUCCCCACUGUGUAUUUAAGUCUUGUUUCUUUGUCUCUCUCUUUGUACCAGGUAUUGAACUCAGGACCUUGUACUUGCAAGGCAGGCGGCAGCACCACUGAGCUGCAUCCUGGCCCUCUUUCUUGCUUUCUUGCUUUCUUUCACUUUGUGUCCUGUGACCUUGUAGGAGUUUGAGACUCUCUGCUGGGGCCUGGAUAAUUACUAAAGCACUCUUCUGGGUGUGUCUGCCAGGGUAUUUUCAGAGAUGAUUGGCAUGUGGGACAGCCAACCAAUGGGGGCCACCUAAAUGUGGGCAGCGCCAUCCAGCUGGUCAGGUGCCCAGGUAGAGCGAAAGAGGAAAGGAGGAAGCCCGCCACCCGUGCUCUUUCACUCUCCGUGCUUCCUGCUGUGAGGUGAUCUCUUUGCUGUACCACAUGCUCCUUACCGUGAUGUUUUGCUUCAUCCAGACCCAGAAAAAAUGGAGCUAAGUAAUCAUAGACUGAAAAUCCCUGAAAGCCAUAAGCCAAAAUAAACCCCGCC
rnacentral:lncRNA from 1 species